UCUGUGUCUUUUUAUUGGGACACAGCCACCGCCAUUCCUUUAGCUUUUGUAUGCAACAGCUGCAGAGUUGACUAUUUGAGACACGUUGUAUGGUCCCCUCAAACUGGAACUGUUUCCAUUCUGGCCUUCUACAGAAAGUAUUUGGACCCUGGCCUAGAUAAAUCUGGCUGGUGGUUAUGUUAUGUGAAAUGUGCACACUGCAAAAUAUAGGGCUGUAUGAUUAAAAUUUUUGAUUUCAGCUACUGUUCAUAGUCGAUUUAAAGGGCAAUUUAAUUUACAGCAAAUCCAGUUUCUCGGAGAUUUGUGUUGGGGUUUUGGCAGCAAAAAAAAAUCCUAGGAGUAAUCUUGAGAGUUCCAUGCCCCCUAGUGGAUUGCUAUAGGGUUUACUUUUAAAUUUUCAAAACACUGAAUUGGCCAAGGAUUUCCUUGGUCCAUAUUAUCCCAAGGGUCAGAGGCUGAAGACCUGGGCAGAUGCUCACAGGUACUGUCAUGGCCUGGGCAAAUCUAGCCACGUCAGCGCUCAUUUCUAUUCCCUUUCCCACAUUCCAGCAAACAAGAGACUAGGCUUGAAGGGACCCACCUUCCUCUCCUCCGAUUCCUCGUGACGCCGCACGCCUCUUACUCUCCCCGGGGCUCAUCCGGGGGAAUGGGGCAGAGAUUAUGUCCCACCGGUUGGACGAACUAACGAGGGCGGGGAAAGGAAAAAAAAAAAAUCAGAAUAGGCAGCCAAUCAGAGCUCGGCACAAGUCCAGCCAAUCGGGUCGGGUCAAUUGGGGCUUAGCCAAUCGGGCUCGAUGAGGAAGACCUGAGUCAGAGCUUGCGCUUCUCGCUUCCAUCUGUGGGUGGCGCUAGGCUGGUUCAGCCGGACCGGGUAGGGGUCCUCGCUCGCUAGCUCGCUGUUUCUCGGAGAAGCCCCCGAGUGUCCGGCCUAGAGGCCAUGAGAAGGCAGUGGGGGUCUGCCAUGAGGGCGGCCGAGCAGGCGGGCUGCGUAGUGAGCGCCUCCCGGGCCGGACAGCCCGAGGCGGGCCCAUGGAGCUGCAGCGGGGUAAUCCUGAGCCGUAGCCCGGGCCUGGUGCUUUGCCACGGGGGCAUCUUCGUCCCCUUCCUGCGAGCUGGCAGCGAAGUCCUGACCGCGGCCGGCGCCGUCUUCCUGCCUGGCGACAGUUGCAGCGACGACCUGCGCCUGCACGUGCAGUGGGCCCCAACGGCCGCGGGUCCCGGCGGCGGCGCGGAGCGGGGCCGCCCAGGGCUGUGCACGCCCCAGUGCGCGAGCCUCGAGCCCGGCCCACCUGCCCCGUCCCGCGGGCGUCCCUUGCAGCCCCGGCUUCCCGCUGAGCUGCUGCUGCUGCUGAGCUGCCCGGCCUUCUGGGCCCACUUCGCGCGCCUCUUCGGGGACGAGGCAGCGGAACAGUGGCGCUUCUCGAGCGCGGCGCGGGAUGACGAAGUGUCGGAGGACGAGGAGGCGGAUCAACUGAGAGCGCUGGGCUGGUUCGCGCUGCUGGGCGUGCGGCUAGGCCAGGAGAAGGUGGAGGAGGAGCGCGGGCCAGCCAUGGCCGUGUCGCCUCUCGGGGCCGUGCCCAAGGGCGCGCCGUUGCUGGUCUGCGGCUCCCCUUUCGGCGCCUUUUGCCCCGACAUCUUUCUCAACACGCUGAGCUGCGGGGUGCUCAGCAACGUGGCCGGCCCGCUGCUGCUCACCGACGCACGCUGCCUGCCCGGCACCGAGGGCGGUGGCGUGUUCACCGCGCGGCCCGCUGGGGCGCUGGUGGCGCUGGUGGUGGCGCCGCUCUGUUGGAAGGCCGGCGAAUGGGUGGGCUUCACGCUGCUCUGCGCCGCCGCCCCCCUUUUCCGCGCCGCCCGCGACGCGCUUCGCCGCCUGCCCCCCAGCGCCGCUGCCCUGGCUGCCCUCCUGCCGCCAGAGGUGGGCGUCCCGUGGGGUCUGCCCCUCCGAGACUCCGGGCCCCCGUGGGCAGCCGCGGCAGUGUUGGUGGAGUGCGGCACCGUAUGGGGCUCCGGAGUGGCUGUGGCACCCCGCCUUGUAGUGACCUGUCGGCACGUGUCCCCUCGGGAAGCAGCCAGGGUACUGGUGCGCUCCACCAUCCCCAAGAGUGUGGCCAUCUGGGGCCGUGUGGUAUUUGCCACUCAGGAGACAUGUCCCUAUGACAUAGCAGUGGUGAGCCUGGAGGAGGACCUGGAUGAUGUCCCCAUCCCUGUGCCCGCUGAGCACUUCCACGAAGGCGAGGCUGUGAGUGUGGUGGGCUUUGGCAUCUUUGGCCAGGCUUGCGGGCCCUCGGUGACCUCAGGCAUCCUUUCGGCUGUGGUGCAGGUGAAUGGCACGCCCGUAAUGCUGCAGACCACGUGUGCUGUGCACAGCGGCUCCAGUGGGGGACCCCUCUUCUCCAACCACUCAGGAAACCUCCUUGGCAUAAUCACCAGCAACACCCGGGACAAUAACACGGGGGCCACCUACCCCCACCUGAACUUCAGCAUUCCCAUCACGGUGCUCCAGCCGGCCCUGCAGCAGUACAGCCAGACCCACGACCUGGGUGGCCUCCGUGAGCUGGACCGUGCUGCUGAGCCAGUCAGGGUGGUGUGGCGGCUGCAGCGGCCCCUGGCAGAGGCCCCGAGGAGCAAGCUCUGAGGCUGUGUUACCACCUUUGGAAAGAAGAGUGACCUUUUUCUGCUGUAGGAAGUGAUGUUGAGGUGAUGGUGGCCUCAGGAUUCAGGGCCCAGCCCCUGCAGGGGCCCGGGCUACCUCUCAUCUCCACCCAGUGACUGCAGUCUGGGCUUUGGGCUCUGGGGCAAACUUCUCUUCAGCCCCAUGGAUCCUUAACCUGGCAGCCCGUUUUGGGGUGCUUUCUUGAGCCCCCAGUUCUCUGUCCCCUAGCACUAGACUCCGCUGUAUUGUUUUUCCUUCUGGGGAGCCCACUCCAACUGCACAGAAGUUCUGGGCCUGACAGGUAGAUGCCAGCUGGAAGGCAGGCCCAUGCCUGGUUUUGCGUCUGUUCCCCUGAGGGCCAUCGUCAUCCUGGAGCUUCAAUGGGGCCUUGGCUCCUGUCUGCCUCUCAGUCAGAGUCAGGGCUGACAGAGGACUCAGCUUCCUUAGCAUCUCAUCAGAAACCUUGCUGUGAAGACCAGAGACAGAAGGGACAGAAACAGGAGUGCCUCCUGCUGUGCCAGGCCCGUGGGCAGUGCAGGCAGAUCCCUGAAGCAGGGUGUGAGCUCAUGGGAUACGGUCCUGCCAGACUGGCCCUCAUAGCUGUUCAUGUGCCAGUCAGAGCUGGGUGGGGCUUGCAGGUCCCGGAAGGUGGUGGUCUUGACCUGGCAGCAGGUGCUUAAAGAAUGCCUAAGUGGGUCCUAAAGACCUUCCCAUGAGAGGGUCUCAAUCCUGGGGGAAGGAAUGCUGAUGUCAUGAAGCUUCCAUAAAAACCCAAGAGGACAGGGUUCAGAGAGCUUCUGGAUAGCUGAACACCUGGCGCUUCCUGGCAUGUGGCGUGCCCAGGGAGGGCACGGAAGCUCUGCACUCCUUCCCCUUUCCUCAUUCCUUGCUCUAUGUACGUCUCUUCAUCUGUAUCCUUUGCGAUAUCCUUUAUAAUAAACCAGUAAACA